AUGGCAGGUCUGCUGCUGCGUACAUUCAUCCGGAUCCAGCCCCGGGCGCCGAUGAGCGCCGCCGGUGGAGCCGCGCCCUUCUACGCCUCGUGUCCCUCGUCGCCCCGCACCGUCGCGCACCUGGAGGUGAGGGGGGAGCAGGCCGCUGCUGAAGUUGAAUUAUCAAAGAAGAGUUGUAUCCCAUGCAUUUCAAAGGAUCUGCAUGCCAUGUCAGAAGAUUCUGCUAAAAAGUCACUUGAACAGGUGACUGGUUGGGAACUGAAAAAUGAAGGUGACAUUUUGAAAUUACACAGAGCAUGGAAGGUGAAGAAUUUUGUAAAAGGUCUUGAGUUCUUUCAGCUUGUUGCUGCUGUUGCUGAGGAAGAAGGUCACCACCCAGAUCUUCAUCUCGUCAGUUGGAACAAUGUGAAAAUCGAUGUCUGGACUCAUUCAGUCAGAGGUUUAACAGAUAAUGACUUCAUCCUUGCUGCAAAGAUCAAUGAACUCAAGCUAGAAGGCCUUUUGAGCAAGAAAAAGGCUACUUCCCAGGAGUAG
rnacentral:rRNA from 1 species